rnacentral:rRNA from 1 species
AUUGAACGCUGGCGGCAGGCCUAAUACAUGCAAGUCGAGCGAACUGAUUAGAAGCUUGCUUCUAUGACGUUAGCGGCGGACGGGUGAGUAACACGUGGGCAACCUGCCUGUAAGACUGGGAUAACUUCGGGAAACCGAAGCUAAUACCGGAUAGGAUCUUCUCCUUCAUGGGAGAUGAUUGAAAGAUGGUUUCGGCUAUCACUUACAGAUGGGCCCGCGGUGCAUUAGCUAGUUGGUGAGGUAACGGCUCACCAAGGCAACGAUGCGUAGCCGACCUGAGAGGGUGAUCGGCCACACUGGGACUGAGACACGGCCCAGACUCCUACGGGAGUCAGCAGUAGGGAAUCUUCUGCAAUGGACGAAAAUCUGACGGAGCAACGCCGCGUGAGUGAUGAAGGCUUUCGGGUCGUAAAACUCUGUUGUUAGGGAAGAACAAGUACAAGAGUAACUGCUUGUACCUUGACGGUACCUAACCAGAAAGCCACGGCUAACUACGUGCCAGCCGCCGCCGUAACAC